GUACUUGCUUUGGCAGUACAUAUACUAAAAUUAGAACAAUACAGAGAAGAUUAGCAUGGCCCCUGCACAAGAAUGACAUACCUGGGUCAGUUUUCCAACUGAAACCU